AUGUCCCCCCACACGUCGUGGAGCCCCCCGCUCCCGGGCGUCGUCACGCUCAACUGCACGGACAGCGCGUACGAGUGCCUCCCGCUCUGCCCCGGCGCCGACUGCCCCGACUACGCCGCGCCCCCGCCGCCGCCGCUCCCGCUCGCCCCGGUCGCCGUCGACCGCCGCCUGCCCGUACGCCUCCUCCUCACCGUCUCCCUCCUCUCCGCCUUCCUCUUCCUCUCGCUCGGGCUCGCCACGCUCCUCCUCUACCGCCGCCGCCGCGCCCUGCGCCGCCGCCGCCGGGCUGCCACCGCCCAGCUGCCUCAAAGCGAGGGGUUCGGCGACGGCGGGGACGAGGAGGGAGGCGGAGGCGGAGGAGGGGUGGUGCACCACGUCUGGUACAUCCGCACGGUGGGGCUCGACGAGGCCACCAUCGCGUCCAUAGCCACCAAGGAGUACCGCGGCGUGGGGGCCGGCGGGGACUGCGCGGUUUGCCUCGGCGAGUUCAGCGACGGCGAGCUCGUCCGCCUCCUCCCGCGCUGCUCGCACCCGUUCCACGCGCCCUGCAUCGACACCUGGCUCCGCGCCCACGUCAGCUGCCCGAUUUGCCGUUCCGUCGUCGUCGUGCCAUCCAGCCUCCCGGCUGCGGCGACUGAUGCCGAGGCAGAGGGCGGCGAAGUGGAAGAGCACCAGGUGUUUGACGAAAUGUCCCCGUCGGAACCACUGCCCGAGGGUUCCGAGGAUUCCGAUGCCUCGUCGGACACUCAAAGUGAGGACACCGAAGUUGUAGCAGAGGAGAAUGGAAGUGUGACGCCCAAGCCAAUACGGCGCUCUGCCUCCAUGGACUCGCCGCUGUUCCUUGUGGUUGUGCCUGAAGGUCAGGGUGGUGCUCUGCCGGCUAAUCGCAAAUUGCCGACUGGUCGACAGAUGAGCAUCUUCAAGGCGAAGGAGAAGGAGGCAGCAGGGACAUCUUCAUCCUCUUGUCAAGCAGGCGGGUUCAGGAUUGGCAGGUCCAUGUCAAGCAGUGGUCGGGGAUUGUUCUUCUCACGGAAUGGGCGCUCCACUGGCAACGUGCUGCCACUUUGA
rnacentral:rRNA from 1 species